UACGUAGGGUGCAAGCGUUUGUCCGGAAUUAUUGGGCGUAAAGAGCUCGUAGGCGGUCUGUCGCGUCGGCUGUGAAAACUCGGGGCUCAACCCCGAGCCUGCAGUCGAUACGGGCAGACUAGAGUGCUGUAGGGGAGACUGGAAUUCCUGGUGUAGCGGUGAAAUGCGCAGAUAUCAGGAGGAACACCGGUGGCGAAGGCGGCUCUCUGGGACGGUACUGACGCUGAGACGCGAAAGCGUGGGGAGCGAACAGG
rnacentral:rRNA from 1 species